rnacentral:lncRNA from 1 species
GUCUGACAUCACUGGUGAACCUUAACAGUGGUCUGAACUGCUGUCUCAGUUUACCCAUGGGGGGGCUCCCAUCUUUGACCCAUAGAAUCAAGUUUUCACCCUCAAAAUAAUGGCACAGCUGGAACUGAAAGGCUGGCCUCCUAGCCCCUCCCUGGGGCUAGGGUGCCACCUGGUCCCCACUGGGGCUCUUCCAUCCAGCUCUGUCCUCUUGGGCCUCCACCGUCUCUGACUCUUGUGUCCUAUCCAUCAGCAUUUAUCCACCCAGUGUCCUAGUGGUCCAGGCCCCAGACGCUGUAGUGAUAACGUGCUGCACCUACUAGUCUGUCCCCCAGUACGUAUUAGCACACUGAGGACUGUUUGGAGGCCCAAUGGACUUAAUCCAAAGAUUCUAACAGUAGAAUUCUGGGCACUUGCUUGAAAACGUUUUGGUCAACAGGGCCUUCAGGCCCCUUCAGAUCCUCCUGCCUCAGCUCAGGGCUGCCCCAGCUGCCAGAUGCCACAAGAGGAGCCUCUCACCUCUCUCCUGGUGCCCUUCUCCAUGGACCACUGGUCAACAGGACAGUGAAGGGCUGGCCCCCUGGUGUGAGUGUGUGUGUGUAUGUGAGUGUGUGUGUGUGUAUGUGUGGGGAGCCUGUCUGGCAGGGACAGGGAGCUCUGCCAGCUUGUCCAGGGGAGGUUGCUCCAUCUCGCCCACCCCCACCUCAGAUGUAAAUCCUGUAAGAGGCUCUUUCAACAACAAAAUACUUUGUUAGCCAGAUGACUUAAACCAGACCAACUUGAGGCCUCACGAGGGGGCAGCUGGAGCAGUUUGAGAAGAGCGGGAGUAAGCUCUCACCCAGGCUUUCUUCCCAACCACGUCAUGCGUGGAUUUCUAAAGUGGCGCCUCCCCCAGCUGCCUCACAUGGGCUGACUCCAGUAUCCUAGUGAGGCACCUGACGAAGAAGCAGCUUUAAAGGUCCCCGAGGGAUGCUCUGGACAGGUGAGACAGGCCCAGAUUUGACUCCAGCUCCAGCCUUGCUAAAGCCACUUCGUUACUCCCUGAAAUUCCACUUUCUCAGCUAUGAAGCUGGCAAUUCGGGGAAAAAAGGAGAAGAGAUGGAGGAGAAAAUGAUCCCCAGGAAAUGCCAAAGAGGUGAAGUCUCAGAAAGGAAGACCUUCUGUUUCCAGGAGCUGGUGAGGUGUUUGGCGGCCCCAGGCCCUCGCACAGGCUGCACUUGAUUCAAAGUCAGAGCCGAUCCUCAGAGUACAGCUGGUCGGAGCUGCUCCAGGGCCAGGCGGGCAGCAGGGGCUCAGGGAGCCAGCAGGGUGGGAUCUAGAAUACGUGGGGCCAGCUCUUUCCAGGAAGAACAAGAGGCUCAUAGAAACCGGCCCCCGUCCAUCCGCCAGACCAAGGCCAGCGGCAGGACAAACCUCCCUCCCAUCCCAGGCUGCUGUCGGCUGACUUCUUCCCCUUCCCAGGCGGCCUUUGAGAAUCCCUUUAACCAGGGUCACCAUGUAGUUUAUUGUUGAAGCAGGAAGACUUUUGAGAGUAAAAGGGGAGUUAUUAAUGAUUAUGCCAGGACAACAGGCAUCAAUUAGGCCUGUCCCAGGCUAACCAGGCCUUAGAGUCACUCUGUUUUUAACCAGAUUAAAAAUCACAAAAUAAAAGGCAGGGAAAGAGAGCCCA